rnacentral:rRNA from 1 species
CCUACGGGAGGCUGCAGUGGGGGAUAUUGCACAAUGGGGGGAACCCUGAUGCAGCGACGCCGCGUGGGUGAAGAAGCGCCUCGGCGCGUAAAGCCCUGUCAGCAGGGAAGAAAAUGACGGUACCUGAAGAAGAAGCCCCGGCUAACUACGUGCCAGCAGCCGCGGGAAUACGUAGGGGGCAAGCGUUAUCCGGAUUUACUGGGUGUAAAGGGGGCGCAGACGGCGAUGCAAGCCAGGAGUGAAAGCCCGGGGCCCAACCCCGGGACUGCUCUUGGAACUGCGUGGCUGGAGUGCAGGAGGGGCAGGCGGAAUUCCUGGUGUAGCGGUGAAAGUCGUAGAUAUCAGGAGGAACACCGGUGGCGAAGGCGGCCUGCUGGACUGCAACUGACGUUGAGGCCCGAAAGCGUGGGGAGCAAACAGGAUUAGAUACCCGAGUAGUC